AAGUGAAAAUCCAUAUUCGCCUACUUCUGUUCUUCGUCCGCAACUGCUCAAAUCUCUGUGAAUGUUUUCUUCCCAAAAAUCUGUUCUUCAGUACCUCAAAAAUGGCUUACGAAAUUCAAUUUCAUCAAAGAUCGCCAACUCGAUAAAUUGGAAGUCACAAAACAUACGGUGAUGGACCAGUUGAUUAUGUCAUGGAAGGAGAAUUUUGGUGGACACAUCAAAGAUUUCUAUUUCCGGGGUAAAGCGAAGAGUGUUAGACAAGCCUAUGGAAGCUGCUGGGAUUGCGGACAAUAUGGAAGAGAUUGAAUAUAUGAUUCCAAGGAAGGAACCCAUGGCUUAUAGCAUCCAAGAUAUGUUACAUUCAAAGAUGUACAGGGAGCAGAGACUGCUCUUCUUUCUUCCUUGUCCAUUGCAGGCAUGCCUAAUCUUUGAUGAUUAUCCUCAAGUCUUCUGUAAGUAGUAUUUUGGGUUUGAAUUUUCAUAAAGUUAUGGAAUUGGAUAUUUGUGUAGUUCGGUUACAAGGUUGUUCAAGUCUGCGUACAUUCUAAUAAAUGUUAGAUGACUGCAAGCCUUGAAGUGGGUAAUAUGCGCCUAUAUGUCAAAUCCUCAUAUCUUGGUGAGUACUUGAGUUAAGAAGUUAUCCUUCUAUAUGGGUUGUAUAGUUGAUUCUUCCCCCUAUCAACUUUAAAUGCAUUUACAUUAUUGGUGUUGUGGCUUAAUAUUGAUUUAAGGCACUUGCUUGGUUUCGUGAACAUCCAAAAAUGUUCGUGUAUAUAGAAUAUAGUCUUUAAAUUAGAAAGUAAUGUCAAGUAAAUAUAAUCAAUAGUUUAGUGACAGCUUUAUGGUAAGUGUGGAGAUGUAUAAUUGAGUUCCGGGAAUUUGAGGAAAAGGAAUAGAAAGAAUACAUUGAGUUGGAUGUUUGAAAUUGAGUCUUCCUACCUAACUUUUAAGACCCACAAGUCCACAAGAGCUGAUGAGUUUAUCUACAGAAGAUGGUGAUAUAGCCAUCCUGAUCAUAUCGAAAUGCUCAAUUACAUAUUUGUUGCUCGAAGGCACAAACUUUGCAGGUUACUAUUUAACAACCAAAAUAUCUCAAUUACAUUCAGUCAUUCUUUCUCUUUUUGAUGUUAAUAUGAAUAUUGUGAUCUUUUUCAAGCUUCUACAAGUUGUCGAUCGCCCCUUAUUCCCAAGUCUGUUUCUUACUACCAUACUUCUUUGUUAUUCAGAUUUAAAUAGCAUUUCUAGGAACUCCUAAAUUUAAGACAGAAGCAACAAGGUGGAUGGUAUAAAAAGACAAGCGAAUGAUAAAAACAGUGACUCUGAAUCAGAUGAAGAAUAUCCAUUUACCAGUAAGUAUAAUUAUCUUACCAGCACUAAUAUCAGAAAUAGAGAUUUAAAAUAAGGAAUCAAAAGCAAUUGACAAUGCUUUGUUCUGGAGUUCUCAGCUUUAUGUUACAGUUGAGAUAUGAUCAAGACUCUAAGAAAAUUCUAAGAAAAUGAUACUCUUAUUCUGAUCCAACAAAGGUACGUUCUGCCAAUCUUUAUUAACAAAUAUUCAGUCUGUAUUCGUUGAGAUUUAUUUAUUUUUCUUUCUUUGAUUUGGUUUGAUUAGGCAUUUGAGGAACGCAAUAUGGAGAAUGAAGUAACUAAUUGAGUUUAUCAACAAGGAGUUUGAUAAGAAACAUGGUCUUACUUGGCAAUGGCAUGUACUGACCCAGGUUACAAUUUUGGCAAUGGUAUUCUUCUCCUUUAUCUCCAAAAAAUUUGUGUUUUCUCUGUUCUCUGUCUUAGGAUUCUAUGACCGUUUCAGCAUAUUUGGAUUGCUUAAAGGUGUGUUACGGCCACACUUAGUUAGGCAAGUCUUUUUGAUUCUACGUGUAGUUGUGAUAGGUUUACUCCCUCCACGAAUGACUUCCAUUUCUCAGGUCAAUACACUUGGACUUUAUUAUGGCAUAUUUGUACCAGAUUAACGCUACAUCUUGCCCUUCUCUAUCUAUUUAUGACACAUGCUAACACAGGUUUAAGUCAUAGCAACUGGUCCGUUCUUAUUGAUUGGGAAGAGGGACGAACCCGAAUCCAAGGAAAAGGGUAUUUUAGCUAAGCCAGAUGAGGAAAAAACAAGUGCCUGCUUCUUGGUGUUGUUUUAGUUAAGCUUCAAACUGAGUCUGCUUCACCACAUACCCUCUAUCCACUGAAGUUUAUCGAUUUUGAACAACUCCCUGGGCCAUCCAAGAUCAUGAAGCUGUGUGAUUCUUGCAGCGGUUUGGAAAAAAUGAAGGAGCAGUGAUUGACCACAGUAAUGGUUGGAAUGUGAUAUCAAAAAACACAUACACGGAUAUAGGGGCUUUGAGUAUUCUUACGAUAUUUGGACCCAACUGUAUAUCUCUUUGGUAGCUGCAGAAUUUAGUUUCUCUUAUUCUUCAACUGUUUUUGGAUGUUCUACUGGUUGCAGACACAACCUUACGCUAAGAAAAUCAUGCUUCGACUAUUUAUGACGAUUAGGUGAGUGAACAAUAAAUACUAUAUUAUUAAUACAUA